rnacentral:rRNA from 2 species
GAACUAGAUAAUAUCAGCAUUAAUGAACCGGAUCUCAUCAUAACUCCGUAGUUAAGUGUGUUUGGUCAAAAGUAGUAUUAAGAUCGAUGACCUCAUGAAAAGUUCUUAUGUUUGAAAAA